rnacentral:rRNA from 1 species
AACGAACGCUGGCGGCAUGCCUAACACAUGCAAGUCGAACGAGACCUUCGGGUCUAGUGGCGCACGGGUGCGUAACGCGUGGGAACCUGCCCGUAGGUUCGGAAUAACUCCCCGAAAGGGGUGCUAAUACCGGAUAAUGUCUUCGGACCAAAGAUUUAUCGCCUUUGGAUGGGCCCGCGUUGGAUUAGCUAGUUGGUAGGGUAAAAGCCUACCAAGGCGACGAUCCAUAGCUGGUCUGAGAGGAUGCUCAGCCACACUGGGACUGCGACACGGCCCAGACUCCUACGGGAGGCAGCAGUGGGGAAUAUUGGACAAUGGGCGAAAGCCUGAUCCAGCAAUGCCGCGUGAGUGAUGAAGGCCUUAGGGUUGUAAAGCUCUUUUACCCGGGAUGAUAAUGACAGUACCGGGAGAAUAAGCUCCGGCUAACUCCGUG